CAGCAGCCGCGGGAAUACGAAGGGGGCUAGCGUUGUUCGGAAUUACUGGGCGUAAAGCGCGCGUAGGUGGUUCGCCAAGUUGGAUGUGAAAUCCCCGGGCUCAACCUGGGAACUGCAUCCAAAACUGGCGAGCUAGAGUAUGGUAGAGGGGGUGGAAUUCCGCGUGUAGCAGUGAAAUGCGUAGAUAUGCGGAGGAACACCGAUGGCGAAGGCAGCCCCCUGGGCCAACACUGACGCUCAUGCACGAAAGCGUGGGGAGCAAACAGGAUUAGAUACCCCGGUAGUCCCUGUCUCUUAUACA
rnacentral:rRNA from 1 species